rnacentral:rRNA from 1 species
ACCAAGGCGACGAUGGGUAGCCGGCCUGAGAGGGUGGUCGGCCACACUGGGACUGAGAUACGGCCCAGACUCCUACGGGAGGCAGCAGUCGAGAGGCUUCGGCAAUGGGGGAAACCCUGACCGAGCGACGUCGCGUGGGUGAUGAAGGUUCUCGGACCGUAAAACCCUGUCAGAUGGGAUGAAAUGCCGUUUGGUUAAUAGCCACGCGGCUUGACAGUACCGUCAGAGGAAGCUCCGGCCAACUCCGUGCCAGCAGCCGCGGUAACACGGGGGGAGCAAGCGUUGUUCGGAAUCAUUGGGCGUAAAGAGCUCGUAGGCGGCUCCGUAAGUCAGGGGUGAAAUCCAAUGGCUCAACCAUUGACACGCCUCUGAAACUGCGGACCUUGAGUCCGGAAGAGGAAAGCGGAAUUCCAGGAGUAGCGGUGAAAUGCGUAGAUAUCUGGAAGAACACCAGUGGCGAAGGCGGCUUUCUGGUCCGGUACUGACGCUGAGGAGCGAAAGCCAGGGGAGCGAACGGGAUUAGAUACCCCGGUAGUCCUGGCCGUAAACGAUGGGCACUAGGUGUGGGAAGUUCGACCCUUUCCGUGCCGGAGUUAACGCAUUAAGUGCCCCGCCUGGGGAGUACGACCGCAAGGUUGAAACUCAAAGGAAUUGACGGGGGCCCGCACAAGCGGUGGAGCAUGUGGUUUAAUUCGAUGAUACGCGAAGAACCUUACCGGGGCUUGACAUGCAGUAGACCGCCAUGGAAACAUGGUUUCCCCUUACGGGGCUGUUGCACAGGUGCUGCAUGGUUGUCGUCAGCUCGUGUCGUGAGAUGUUGGGUUAAGUCCCGCAACGAGCGCAACCCUUGUCCUUAGUUGCCAUCAGGUUAUGCUGGGCACUCUACGGAGACUGCCGGUGAUAAACCGGAGGAAGGUGGGGAUGACGUCAAAUCAUCAUGGCCCUUACGUCCCGGGCUACACACGUGCUACAAUGGCCGGCACAGAGGGCUGCGAUACCGCAAGGUGGAGCGAAUCCCAAAAAGCCGGUCUCAGUUCGGAUUGCAGUCUGCAACUCGACUGCAUGAAGUCGGAAUCGCUAGUAAUCGCGGAUCAGCAGGCCGCGGUGAAUACGUUCCCGGGCCUUGUACACACCGCCCGUCAAGUCAACCGAGUUGAGCGCACCCGAAGUCGCUGAACCAACCCCUCGGGGAGGGAGGCGCCGAAGGUGUACUUGAUGAGAGGGACUAAGUCGUAACAAGGUA